ensembl:snRNA U6 U6 spliceosomal RNA
GUGUUCUCACUUCAGCAGCACAUAUAUUAAAAUGGAACAAUACAAAGAAGAUAGCAUGGCCUCUGUACAAGUAUGACACACAAACUCACGACAUGCGUCAAUACUAA